AAUAAAACGAGGUAUAAUUUGCGUUAAGUUCAUCCUAGUUCAUAGGUAAAAACAAUGUGCUUUUGGUACGAGUGUUUCUAAAAAAGCGUUUCACAUUCUAUCGUGGUCGGCUUAUUGUAUACGGUUUUCCUUCGAGUAAACGGGAUGAAAAUACGAAGAUUAUAAAGUUUCAGAAACGAGAUAGAGAGUUUGAGCAUGUUAUUCAAUCCACAUCUACUUCACCCCCUUGCAAGCAAACUAAAUUUUCUAAUGACCCCUGAAUGUUAGAUUAGGUGAAUUAGUGGUAUUUACCAUAUUAUAUAUUUUCUGGCAUA